AAAUCGCACACCUACACACAGAUACAUAAAAAUUGCACACACCUUCCUCGAAACCAUGAUUCACACCCUCAAAUCUCACCAAAAACUACAGGUUUUAUGAGUGGUUCACAUUUUUUGGCGACAUACUCAUCGGAAUCACAUCGAAGUUGUCAGCAGCAUGUUCAAACUUGGCAAAAUCCUUGCCAAAUUUCACGAUCUCACAUUUUUUUUGCUCAAUUUCUACUAUUUUUUUAGGUUUUAUUGCAUAUUGGGGCGUUUUCAUCAUUAAAAUCAAGCCGGGGUUCAUUUGUUUUGGGCUUUUUUGGUCACCAUUAGCUCACCGGAGCUCGGUCUGUAUCAGGUUUCUGUUUUCCUGUUGGUUUGUUGGGAUUUUGGAAAUUUAUUUAUGCGUUAGAAGUUUAUAUUCACAGGUCUCGGAGCUUCUUGGCUAUUAUUCUAAUAUCGAGUUCGGAGCUUAUUCAUCGUUGAGGUGCUAUCGAGGAUUACAAACUCAAUUUUCUUAACUCAUAUUAUCAACGAAAUUCGAUAUCGGAAGGUCCAUUUCUUGACCCGCUCUCUUUUUAUUUAUCUUAGUGUGUCAAAUUGGUUGUGAUUAUGUGUGAUGUUAUUAUGUUUGUUGGCUUUAUUGUUGAUGUUGAUCAUGACGUUUGUUGAUUCGGCUAUGGUAGUUUGAGGAAAGAAUUCGACCAUGUGUUGAUUGUUGAUUGAUAAAAACGAAGCUAGCGGGUGUGGAAUUGAGAAUUUGAUAAAAGGGGCUGAAUUAGAUUAACGUGGGUUUAUUAUUUUUUUUUUUAAUCUAGAAUAAGCAUAAAUAUUGUGUGAACGUGAAAGAGUUAUGACAUGUGGAAACGGAUAGGCAAUGUAAGUUCGGGUAGGCAAAAUUUAGGAUUUAGUUUUUUGUUGAAUGUUUGAAUAUGGAAUGUUUAUUGAAUAUUUUCUAAGUUUGUUAUACUUGAUUCAAUUGUAUCAUUUGGCCGGGGAAUGCCCCGAUGUAUUUGUAUUAGUUUUUUUGGAGAAUGCCCUGAAGUAUUUUGUACUCGGUGGACGUCCGUGAUGAAAGUCCAAGGCAUCGGGUAGCAUAUGAGAAUAGUUAGGAUUAUGGUAGGUUAGAAUAGGAUAUAUACUUUCCUAUUUCUUUUUUACUUUGGUCUGUAUAAUUGGACUGAAAAUUAUUUUGGGGAUUUGUUUGGGUAUGUUUGUUUGAUUGAUAGACUUAUAUGUUUUGUGUAGUUUAUACACUCGUUGAUGUCAAGUUAGCCGAUACUCCCUACCAAGCGACCGUGGUCAAACCACAAGAUCGAGGGGUGCCUAACACCUUCCCCUCGGUCAAUAGAAUUCCUUAGCCGGAAUCUCUGUUUGCAAACCAGUUUCAAGAGUCAAAAUGUUUUGAAAAGGAUUUUCCAAAGGUGACUUGGCACACCGGAUUAUGUCAAGUGGUGACUCUGAAUAAAAAAUGUAAAUAGUCCUUUUUAAAACAAAUUUUCAUCCUUUUGUCACUUUAAUAAUAAAAACCCUUUUGAACUUAAAAUGAAUCUUUUGGAGUACGAAAAAGGGGUAUGACAACUCUGGCAACUCUGCUGGGGGCUUUUUAGAAUUUGAGCUUAUUUUGAAGUUGUAUCGGCUUUGUUUGGCAUUAUGAGUGUAUAAGCAUUGUUUGUGGUUAUUGUUUGUGUUAUUGUUAUCAUUUUUGUGCCUACGUGCUCUUUGUUUACAGUUUUUAUUUCAUGUUUUACUGCUUUAUAUUUGAUGUCAUGUGUAUAACCCGAGUCAUUCUUUCUCUAACAAUUCCGUAGUACACGUGUGUAUACGACCUAUAGUUGAGUCACACUUAUUUUAGGAUGAGGGAGCCGUUGGGUUGUAUGGAGUAGGUGGAAAGUUGUCGCAGCCACAAUCAACUAUAUGCUCCCCCGAACAGCCUUGUUAGUAAACCCCAGUGUAGGUCAGCCUUCAGGUUAUUCUUAUGUGCAUCAUGUCGAGACUUAGCGGGGCCCAUUUGGUCCUUCAUAGGAAACUCACGUCUAAAGUAUCCCAACAUGCUAAAUGUUGUAUCUUUGAGGGUAAAGUGGUCAUUUGACGGACUGAUUUGAGAAAAAUAUGUGUUAGAAGUAAAGUGUGUAGGCAACGAAAAAAAAAAGAAAAAGGAAAAGAGAGAAAAAAAGAGAGUGUCGUAGUUUAUUUUAGAGUUCUUUAUGGCUUUUUUUCUUCAUAAUCCAAAAACUCAGAAGAUUUUUUUACCUUUUGCAUUUAUUUUCUCAAAGUACCAUAAAUUCAAAACAAAAAAAAGAGGAUUUUGUUUACCUUUUCUACUUAUUUUUCAAAAAAAAAAAACACAAAAAGAUUUUCCUUUUGUUUUUUAGUAAGCAUUCAUAAUUCAAAAAUUUCAACAAAAAAAAUUAUAUAUUAGUAGGUUUUUAUAAGAGAAAAUGCAAAAAAAGAGAUGGUAGAAAUUUGUACAUUUCCUAUAAUGAAAAUUCCAAAAAUAUUUUUUCUUCAUAAUUGUUGGUGUCAGUCUUAGUUGAAGUGUCUGAUUAAAAACCCAAAAAGAUUUUAUUCGUUUUUCUUUGGUUGUGUCUUUUAAGUUAGGGUCAAUCUGUUAGUUAAUCGUUAAUUGUCCAAUCUGGCGAACUACGCGUACCAGAUUCCUGUCCCUUGGGGCGGGAUACAUAGGCAACCCUCGGUGGGUUCAGUAAUCUUUAUUUUUGGCCUUUGUCUUAGUCUUAUCCUGGGUCUUCCUCGUAAUCUAGUGUUGUCAAUUGAUUCUUUCCAAGUAGGCUGAUUUCCUUCAGCGGUACUGUUCGGUGGAUUUGAGUUAUAUGUCGGUCUGUCCCUCCAUGUCACACGACAUUUUUCUAAGAUAAAAUCCCGAGGGUCGGGUGUUCCUUGUCUUGUUUUAAAUUUUGAGUUGUAAGUUUGGCUUUUUAUUAUAGGAUGAAGCCUAGAGGGUCUAGAGUCUUGAUGGUUUCCAAAGUGCCCAAAAAGUUAAUCAAGUGGUGGGGCACGUUCAACUACGCUAACCAGCAAGAGCUAAUUAAUAUUAGGUAAUCUUACAAAACUUCUACAUGUCCCACCCCGUCCAGAUCUAAUAGAUGCUGUGUUGACCUUUUGAGAUCCUAGUAAUUUUGUGUUUAGGUUCGGAAAGUAUGAAAUGACGCCUACUUUGGCAGAAUUAUCUAGUCUGCUUCAUUUGCCUUAUAUUGACAAAAGUAUGAUCCGAGCUCAAAAUCACUCGGGCAAUAGGUUUCUACAAAGGUGUGGUUUAAAGAGUAAUAACGGACAUUUGGGUUGUCUGAAUCAAUCAUGGAUUUCCUUAGACUUUCUAUUUGCUAGAUUUGGAUCCUUGGAAGGUUUUGACCACUUUUGGGAUGAAUUUUAUAUGAUUAAGCAGAAGUGGGAAAAAAAGCAUCUUAAAGUCUUCACCUUCGCUCUGUUAGGCACUCUAGUGUUUCUGCUAGAAGAAAGGAGUAUUAAUACACGUUUGCAAUCUGUGGUGAUGGCUCUAUUUCGUAAGGAUCAAAAGGACAAGGUCUCUAAUCAAAAGGGUAAAGUCACUAAUCAAAAGGACAAGUUCACUAUCAUACCCAUGAUCUUAACAGAGAUAUACAAGGAUUUAACUGAAGUGAAGGGGGGAUGAGAUUUUUUUAGGGCAGUAACCUGAUAUUGCAGUUGUGGAUGAUGGAGCAUUUGCAUGCGGCUUCUUUAGUUAGACCAGUCGUGGUUGAUCAUUGUAUUCCCAAUUGAGUGAAAGCCAUGGACCUCAGGUUGCGUUUUGAUAAAUUCUCGCUACCCAUGGGAGUCGACGCUUGGAUUGAAUUUCUUGAGUCAAGAAUCGAGGAUAAUAUUUUGUGGUCUUAUCUGUGGCUUUGGUUGUCAGAUGCAGCUCUUUUUAGUUAUGUUAGGGCUCAAUUGCACUAGACCAUACAGUCCUUCUAGGGUAAUGCGCCAGUUGGGUAGGCCGCAGGACGUGCCACCAGUAGUGGAUCUUCUAAAGGAUGUUGAGUACUUCAAGGACCAAGCCUUAGGUGAGAGCAAAUAUGAGCAACUCUGGAAGCAUGCAACAAAGCUAGGUGUGUACACUCUCAAAGAAAGUUUAGAUAAUUUGGGGUACACUCAGGGAUAUGGGGUUUGGAUUCAAUCUAUCCCUCGAGGUAUCAUCCAACCAUUACUAGUGCAACUUAGAGGGAGAAUACAGGAAGAAUGCAUAAUUGACAACCAUCAGGAUGAAGGUGCGGGGUCCAAAGUAGAGACACUAAGAGUUCAGUUAUUAGGUUUGCUCAAAACUAUGGAGGGGUGUCAGAACAAUCUUUUCAAGUGUACUCCUCAUGAGGUAGGAAUACGUGCCAGAGGCAUCUUCCCAAAUAUUGAAAGGUCCUUACAAGAUAUGCUACAUAGUUUGAAUGGGAGAAAGAGAACUUCACAGGCAGGUCCAUCUCAGCCAGGGUCAUCACGCAGAGCACCAGUCUGAAGGAGCAUUUCCUAUCUUUUGUUUAGUUUGAUUCCUUUACUUUUCUGCCAUUUGUAGUAUUGUAACUUUGUUAAGUCGGUGUCAAGUUUGCUUUAACUUUGGAGUCUUUAUUAGGAGCAGUACGUAUGUUGUCCUUUAGGUCUAGAGUGUUGUUUAGCUUUCGUUGUUUAGUUUUAAAGUUGUCUUAAAUUUGAAGUUUAUUUUAGUUGUCUCUUUUAUGAAAUGUUGUGAUGUUGCGUUGUUCUUUCUUUUGUUUAUUUUAAAAAAAAAUCUUCAACUUUGUGAUUUUUAUGCAUGCGUCGCCCGAACUACGCAAGAUCUGAUUCAUGUAUAAUAUGAUACGUAGGCAACCUAAUUUUGGUUUUGAUCUAAUCAUUUUAUUUCAUUAUUUUUCACUAUUAUUCCUCUUUUAAAGAAAAGCAAAAGCCAUAAAGAGUGACAAAAUGAAGGUAGAUAAUGAGAGAAGAAAAGAAAGAAAGGAUGAUGAGAUAAGAAAGGGAAAAAACAGAGGUGUGGUUGGAGGAAAGAAGCAAUCAAGUGUAGGAGAAAGAUCGGGAUGAUGUUAAAAUGACCUCGCUACCCUCAAAGGCUGGUAGAAAUGAACAUGAAUCUAGGACAAUUUUACCAAUGUGAUUCCCAUGAUUAAUGUGUGGCCUAAUUCUAACGGGUGUUGUCUUUGAUGAGCAUGUUCUUUCAAAUAACAGUGGUUGAUUUGCAACACUUUGGAUAGUCUCCCGUACUUCACUAGAUCAAAAGUAAAGCUUGCCAUAGCUAUUAGGGAGAUUAAAAAUUCACUCAUUGACCCAAAUCAGGAUCUCAGGGAGGAAAGUUCGAAAUGCAAUGAUAAGGCUCUAAGACUUGCGCAAUAAUUAAUAGAUCUGCAUCAAGCAUGGGCUAGUGGCAUGCCUCCUCCUCCGCUCCCUGAAGGUCUUGGGAAUAUUUCUAACUACCCACCGCUUUCUCAGGCUUAAUUAUCUUCCCCUAUUGAGUCACCAGAGCACGCAUCAGGAUUCACUCCGUGUCAAUAUUAUCCUGGUAGCUCUAGUGUGCCCCUGGUAGCUCCCAAAUCAAGUACCGUUGUUCAGCCAGUGCCACCGAUCACAUCGGUGUUCGUGGCUCCGCCACCAUCUGAAGAUCCCACAUAUGUUGUACGUCAAACAAUGGUGCUUCCUCGGUCUACCAGCAAGCCAGUAUUGAAGGUUUUGGAUAAUCAGUAUUAUGCCCCGGAGCCUACUUUGAGGAUUAAUGAACCGUAUAGGUAUACUCAGCCACCUGCAUUUCCGUUUGAUAAGAAGAAGCCUGACGCAACAGAAGAAUAGGAAUUCAUAGCGUGGAAAUUGAAAAGUUUGGAAUAGGCCAAGAGAAAUUUGCUGGGAAUCGGAGGUUAUAAGAGUGUUUCCUAUAAAGAUCUUUAUAUGUUCCUAAACGUCAACCUUCCCCUCGGUUUUAAAAUGCCCAAGUUCGAGAAGUAUGCUGGGCACGGUGAUCCCGUGGCACACUUGAGACGUUAUUGCAACCAAUUAAGGGCUGCAGGGGGAAGGAAAGAGUUACUCAUGGCUUUCUUUGGCUAGAGUCUUUCCGAUCUGACUUUAGAAUGGUUUCUCGAUCAAGAUAUCGACAAAUGGAACAACUGGGAUGACUUAGCUUCUGAGUUUGUGCAACAUUUUUAGUAUAACGUCGACCUGAUUUCGGACGAAAAAUCCUUGGUCAACAUGAAGAAGAAAAGCACUGAAGGUUUUAGAGAAUAUGCGAUAAGGUGGCGUGAAUAGGCCGCCAGGGUAAAGCCUCCAAUGAAGGAGAGCAAGCUGGUAGAGGUCUUCAUUCAGGCAUAGGAUAAGACCUAUUUUCAACAUUUACUUCCGACAAUGGGAAAGUCUUUUAUUGAAGUCAUCAAAAUAGGAGAGAUGAUAGAGGACGGAAUUAAAACCGGACGAAUAGUGAGUUUUACCGCAUUGAAAGCCACCACACAAGCAAUUCAAGAUGGAUUUGGUGCGUUCGGAGGUAAAAAGAAGAAAGAAGAUGUGGUGACCAUUGUAGCUGGAACCCAUUCCUAUCCCAAAAGAUCGCCUUGCCCCUAUCCCCAAUCUCAAGCCCAAGUCCAUUCCCAAGCUCUAUAUAUUCCUCCCCACCAUUACUACCCUCCACAAAACCCAUUAUAUUCUAUUCCACCACCCCCAUACCCAGUAUAUAGUGCACAACCAUAUGCCUAAACCUCUUCUUACUCACAAUGGUGCGUGCAAGCUCUACAAAAUCGCCCAUCAGCUCCACCAAAUUACCAAAACCCCUCCAGACCCAGUUUUUAACCCAGGCCCGAGUAAAAGAAAGAGAAGGAGGUCAAAAAUCAGUUCACACCUCUUAGGGAGUCAUAUGCUAGAUUGUUUGAUAGGUUGAGAAAGAUGAAGGUCUUAAGCCAAAUUCAAGGAAUGCUUACAAAUCCACCUCCAAGGAAUCUCGAUUAUUCUUUAAGGAGUGCGUACUAUUCUGACAUGCCAGGCCAUGAUAUCAAGAAAUACUGGCAUUUAAAGAGAGCUGUCCAAGAUUUAAUUGACACAAAUCAGAUGUUGGUCCAGGCCCCGGAGGUUCCAAACAUUAACCAGAUCCGCUGCCAACCCAUGCUGAAACCAAUAUGUUAGAAUUGAUAUAUGAUGGGAAAGAGUCGUCAAGGUGUUAUAAGCCUAUUGUCAAGAUACAGACCAAUGAAGAGAAAUCGGUGAAUGUAGCAGAGUCUUUAAAAGCAAUGUUAUUGAGCCAGGAAGGAAUGAGAGAAGAUAAAGCCCAAGAAAGCACAAGAAAACCCUUGAUCACAAUGCAAGGUGCCAGAAGGUAUGUUGAUUUAAGUCAGGAUAAACCUAAGUUGACGGUGUUAGGAGCUCUGGGUAAGCCCAUAUUGACGGUGAAAGAAGCACUGGCAGUACCUAUUGUCCUCAAACCGAUGACCCAACCUCCGAUAGUUGAUACAAAAAGAGUUCCCUGGAACUAUGGGCGGACUCUGAUGACCUAUCAGGGGAAAGAAGUAGUGGAAGAUGUAGAUGAGGUACGAGGUUUGACUCAGUCAGAAAAAUGCUCCGUGCCUGAAAGUUUAAGGAAGUCCAAGCCAAUUGUGAGUGGACCUUAUCUAUCAAAAAGCCUGUCACCAAAGAAGAAGCCGGAGAAUUUUUGAAAAAUAGGAGUUUGCCAGAGUAUUCAAUAAUAGAUCAUUUGAAGAAAACCCCUGCUCAAAUUUCCCUCUUAUAUUUGUUGUUGCAUUCCAAGGAACAUCGUGAUAUUAUACCGAAGGUAUUAAACGAAGCAUUUAUUCCUAGGGAGAUUACAGUAAAUCAGCUUGAGAAAAUGGUUGGAAAAAUCUUUGAGGUCAAUCGGAUCAGCUUUUCUGACGAUAAAUUGCCUGUUGAAGGUACGGGGCAUAACCGGGGUAUUUACAUUACAGUGAAGUGCGAAGAUUUCUACGUCACUCAUGUCAUGAUUGACGGAGGUUCAGGUGCAAAUAUCUGCCCUAUUUCUACUUUGCAAAAGUUGAAUAUUGGUGCUGAGAGAAUCAGGCCCAACAAUGUAUGUGUCAGGGCUUUUGAUGGUGCAAAAUCAAAUUCCAUUGGCGAAAUAGAACUUUAUAGGGCCUGUCGAAUUUGCCAUAGAAUUUUAAGUAUUAAAUAUCGAAUCCUCUUACAAUCUUUUGUUAGAAAGACCAUGGAUCCACAAGGACAAGGUAGUUGCAUCUACACUACACCAGAUAAUUAAGUUUGAGCAUGACAGGAAAGAAGAGAUUAUUCACGGUGAAGGAGAUUUUUCCACCUACGAAGAUUCUCCCUUGUCUCUUAUUGAAGCAAAUAAUGUAGAGGAGACAUUUGUCUAUCAAAUUUUUGAUACAGUGCCAGUGGAUCGUAUCCUUGAAGGUCAGGUUAUAUUGGGACCAUAAUUGUCUUCCUCUUCUAUCAUGAUGGUGAGUGAACUUUUGAAAUACGGAUUUAAGCCAGGAAGGAGUUUGGGAGCAGAGCGUCUCUGCACGGUAUAGUUCAUCCCAUAUACCCGAGUGAGAACAUAGACACUUUCGGUCUGGGAUUUAAGCCUACGGCUGAAGAUCUGAAGAAAGCGAAGGGAAGGAAAAAAGAAACAUGGUCACUCCCUCGCUCGAUGCCACUACUCAGUGAAUCAUUUGUUAAGAGCGGUGUCACGAAGCAUGUAGAAUUUGAAGCUGAAUUGGUUGAUAACUUCCAAAACCUUUUUAUUGAAGUAGAUAUGGUUGAAGCAGGAGAGGGUACCAGUAAGGCAGGUGUGCAGUUCAUAGGCCCAGCUGUCCAUCUCAACAAUUGGAAAGUUACUUCUCUCCCCGUUAGGAGGGAGUUUUUGUAGUUCAUUUUAUUUUUCUUUCUAUUUAUUCGAGUUAUUCCAGGGUUGUAAUUCAGAAUUUAGCUUAUUUAUAUUUUGUUGUUUGUGUUUAAACCCUCCUAUCUUUCCCUUUUAAAUGAAAUGCAAUGUCUUUUUCUUUAUACAGUUCUCUUUAUGCAGAUUCUAAUGACAUGCAUGCAGAAUUUUCAGCCUAAUCUUAAAAUCCAAACUAAUCAAGAUAUAAUGAAGCAAGAGGAGGAAUAUGAUGAAGAAGAGGCACUAGAAGAAAUAAGCAAAGAGUUGGAAUAGUUUAAAGACAAGUCAAAUCUUAAUUUGAAUGAAACUGAGCCAAUUAAUCUAGGGAAUCAAGAAGAUGUUAGGGAAACUAAAAUCAGUAGACAUGCUUUGCCACAGUUAAAAGAUGGAAUAAUUCAAGAAUUAAUUGAUUAUAAGGAUGUUUUUGCAUGGUCUUAUGAUGAUAUGCCUGGUUUAAGUAAUGAAUUAGUGGCCCACAAAUUGCCAACUGAUCCCGCAAUCCCUCCUAUCAAACAGAAGAUGAGGAAGUUUAAAACUGAUGUAAGUAUUAAAAUCAAAGAGGAAAUCAUGAAACAACUGGAAGCCAAAGUAAUUCGAGUGGCUCGUUAUCCCACGUAGUUAUCCAAUGUUGUUCCUGUCCCAAAGAAAGAUGAAAAAAUUCGAGUAUGUGUUGAUUACCAUGAUUUGAACAGAGCAAGUCUGAAAGAUGAUUUUCUGCAACCCAACAUCCAUAUUUUGCUGGACAACUAUGCUAAACAUGAGGUUGCUUUUUUUGUCGAUUGCUAUGUCGGAUACCACCAAAUCAUUAUGGAUGAUGAAGACGCGGAGAAGACGUCUUUUAUCACACCAUGGGGGACUCAUUGUAAUCGAGUGAUGCCGUUCGGUUUGAAGAAUACUGGAGCAAUAUACUUGAGAGCCAUGACCACUAUGUUUCAUGAUAUGAUGCAUAAGGAGAUUGAGGUCUAUGUAGAUAAUGUGAUCAUUAAGUCAAAAAGUCAGGCUGACCAUGUUAAAGAUUUAAUAAAGUUCUUUGAAAGGCUUCGUAGGUAUAAUCUCAAGCUCAACCCGACAAAAUAUGUAUUUAGAGUUUCGUCUGGAAAGCUGUUAGGGUUUGUAGUCAGUCGUCGGGGAAUUGAAUUGGAUCCCUCAAAAAUUAAAGCCAUUCAGGAUUUGCCCCCACCCAAGAAUAGAACGGAGGUGAUGAGUUUGCUUGGUAGACUGAACUACAUCAGCAGGUUUAUUUCUCAACUCACAACCACUUGUGAUCCCAUAUUCAAGUUGCUGAAAAGAGUGUUGUGGUAGAAUGGACUGAAGAAUGUCAGGAAGCAUUCGACAGAAUCAAAAGAUAUUUGUCAAAUCUGUCUGUGCUGGUACCACCGAAGCCUGGUAGGCCUUUAAUCUUAUAUUUAUCAGUCAUAGACAAUUCUUUCAAUUGUAUCCUGGGUCAACAUAAUUUCACUGGCAAAAAGGAGCAGGCUAUUUAUUAUCUUAGCAAGAAGUUCACCACGUAUGAGGCUGGGUAUACUCUUCUUGAAAGGACGUGUUGUGCCCUAACUUGGGUAGCAUAGAAGUUGAAGUAUUAUCUUUCAUCCUACACUACUUAUCUUAUCUCUCGCAUGGAUCCUUUAAAGUAUAUCUUUCAGAAGCCUAUGCCGACAGGUCGAUUGGCAAAGUGACAGAUAUUGCUUACUAAGUUUGACAUUAGGUAUGUGACUCGAACUGUCAUGAAAGCUCAAUCCUUAGCAGACCAUCUUGCUGAGAAUCCCAUUGAUGAAGAGUAUGAACCAUUAAAGACAAAUUUUCCUAAUGAAGAGGUAUUCUAUGUCGAGAAAGUCAUUAUAGAUGCUGAUCCAGGUUAGAAGCUAUUCUUUGAUGGAGCUGUUAACAUGAAAGGAGUCAGAAUAGGUGCGGUUCUUAUCUCUGAAUUGGGGCAGCAUUUCUUGGUAACAGUGCAUAUUUGAUUUUAUUGUACCAAAAACAUGGCGGAAUACGAAGCAUGCAUUCUUGGUUUGAAGUUAGCUGUUGAUAUGGGAGUCUAGGAACUAUUAGUGUUGGGGGAUUCAGAUUUGCUCGUCCAUCAAAUUUAAGGCGAUUGGAAGACGCAAGAUUUGAAGCUCAUACCAUAUCAACAAUGCUUGCAAGAGCUAUAUCAACGGUUUAUAUCAGUAAAAUUUAGGCAUAUUCCAAGGAUUCAUAAUGAGAUUGCUGAUCUUUAGCCACUCUAUCUUCAAUGCUCCAACAUCCUGAUAAAGCCUACAUCGAUCCAGUGCAUAUACAGAGUCAUGAUCAACAUGCUUACUGUAAUGCAUUUGAAGAAAAGCUUGAUGGCGAGCCUUGGUUCGUUGAUAUCAAGCGAUACACUCAGUCAGAAGAAUACCCAAUAUAUGCCACCAGUGAUCAAAAGAGGACUAUCAGACGUCUGGCCAGCAGAUUUUUCUUAAGUAAGGGAAUCUUAUAUAAGAGAACCCCAGAUCUAGGACUUUUGAGGUGUGUAGAUACGAAAGAAGCCUAAAAAAUCAUGGUUGAAAUACACUCUGGAGUAUGCAAACUGCAUAUGAAUGGUUAUGUCUUAUCAAAGAAGAUUCUUCGAGCAAGCUAUUACUGGCUUACUAUGGAGAGGGAUUCUAUUUGAUUUGUUUGAAAAUGUCAUCAAUGUCAAGUACAUGGUGAUCUGAUACAUUAUCCUCCUGUUGAGUUGUAUGCAAUGUCUGUUCCAUGGCUUUUCGUAGCUUGGGGGAUGGACGUGAUCGGGCCGAUUGAGCCAAAAGCGUCAAAUGGGCAUAGAUUUAUUUUGGUGGCCAUUGAUUACUUUACAAAGUGGGUAGAAGCAGUAACUUUCAAUUCAGUAAUAAAGAAAUCGGUGGUAGAUUUUGUUCAUGCCAACAUCAUUUGUAGGUUUGGAAUUCUAAAGAUGAUCAUUACAAACAAUGAUGCCAAUCUCAAUAGUCAUUUGAUGCAAGAACUGUGUCAAUAAUUUAAGAUCGCACACUGAAAUUCCACUUUAUAUCGUUCAAAGGCUAAUGGCAUAGUGGAAGCCGCCAAUAUGAAUAUCAAGAAGAUACUGCAGAAAAUGGUACAAGGGUCUAGACAAUGGCAUGAGAAGUUGGUGUUUGCUAGGUUAUCGUACUACUAUUAGCACUUCAACAGGGGAAACUCCAUAUUUAUUGGUGUAUGGGAUAGAAGCAUUCAUUCCUGCAGAAGUUAAAAUUCCCUCUCUUUGAGUCAUUGUGGAAGCAGAGAUUGAUGAUGACGAGUGGGUCAAAACUCGAUUGGAACAAUUGAGUUUGAUUGAGGAAAAAAAGCUAACGUCAGUAUGUCAUGGCCAAUUAUAUCAGAAGAAAAUGGCUCGAGCGUAUAACAAAAAGGUACGACCCAGGCAUUUUGAAGUUGGUCAGUUGGUAUUGAAGUGUAUCCUUCCUCACUAGGUUGAAGCGAAAGGCAAGUUCUCCCCAAACUGGCAAGGUCCCUUCAUUGUGAAGAAAGUGUUUCCUAAUGGAGCCUUAUAUUUGACGGAUAUUGAAGGCAAAAUGGCAGAAAUAGCUAUCAAUGCUGAUGCGAUCAAAAGAUAUUAUGUAUGACACUUUAUCCUUUGUUGAUUUUAUUGCAUGUUUAGUACUUGCAUUUUUUAAGAUUGAUAUGAUGAAGACAUUUUAUUCUUCUAUCCAAACAUUGUGUCAUUCUUUGUUCACCCGUUUGAGCUUAGUUUUAUUUUUCUUUCAUAUUCCUCUUUUGGAAUCAAAAUAUGAGUCAAAGAAAAAUGUCAGGAAAAUAAGAAUAGAAGAAAGAGUUCGAAAAUAAAAAAAGAGAGAAAAAAAAUCAAAUAAAAAAUAAAGAACAAAUUGAUGGAACUAUGUGCAACCUAAUUCUCCUCUCUCGAGGGUGAGAUACAUAGGCUGCCCUAUUCGGGCUCGGUCCAACCAAAUAAAUAUUUUAGAGUUACCAAGUCAACAAAACUGGGGCAUGAGUUAAGAUGUUGUUUGAGUCGAUUUCAAAAGUUGUAAGUCCCACCCCCACUUUAGGUGUCGUUUAAGCCUCUUGUCAUCUUUUUAUAACCUUAUCCAAAAGUCAAGUUACAACCAAAGAAAGUCCUUCAGAUCAAUUUUUGAUAAUGUUAAGGCUAAGUGUGCAAUGGAUAUGAUGAUACAUUGUGGGGUACUACUUGUUUUCCUCAACAUAAGAAAUUAGGAAAGAAAUACAAAAUAAGAGAGUCUUAUUGGUGAAAACUCUCGCGGGCACCAUAAGGCGAUGGUGAGUGAAAAGAAAUAAAAAUGAGAGAGUCUUACUAGUGAAAACCCUCACGGGCACCGUAAGGCGAUGACGAAUUCGAGAGAAAAGUGAAAGUUAAAUGGAAAAAGAUUUGUUAGCUAAAGUCUUUCAAGUUGUCUUCAAUUGAAUGAGAUAUAUGAGUCCAAUGGAUUUGAAGAAGUGGUUCAGCGGCAAAGGCAAGAACUCAACAACAAAUGGGAAGUUUGGAUAGGAAGAUCAGGCAACCUAAUCCAAAAUGCAUGUCAUACACAUUGGAGUUGGGUGCCGUAUUCAGAUAAGUUUUCUUUUUGAAUAAGGGACAUUACCCUUUUCUUUCAUUUACCUAUUCAUAUUUUGUCUUUUUCAUUUAUCAAAAUAAAAGUCACCAUCAUUUCUUUAUAUUUUAAGUCAAGUCUGUGUUAAAACAAGCGAGAAAGGAUUUCAAAACUUGCUACCAGUCUUUCCAAUUGUAUGAGGAAAAGACAAGGACUAGCACAUGAAAGAAAUAUGAUCGUAAUUCAACACAAAGCAAAGGAAGUCUAUCAACCGAUAGUCAGCUGGUUUCCUGGGAGUAUUCAGAUUUGGAAAAGGGUGCAUCUUAGAGGCCUGGUAAGAUAAAAACUCAUUGUUCGAGUCAGAACUUAUUUCCCUCAAUCUAAAUCUGGGUCAAUGAAGCGACAAGACAGGGGCAAAAGUUAAUAAUCUGAAACAAAGAUUAAAGGAACAAGUGUUGCAGCAGAUGUCUGGAAAUCCAAAGUACUGCAAACCACUACUGAGUUUUUAACUGACAAAUUUUCUUUAUUGAAACAGGGGCGAAUUCACUUCACUUAAUUCAGUUACCAUUGGAAAAACGCAUCCAUGAGACUUUACUUUCUGAUCAGGACCCUCUUAGAAAAUGGAAUUUUACUUUCAGAUCAGGACCCUCCUGAAAAAUGAAAUUUUACUUUCUGUUCAGGACCCUCCUGAAAAAUGAGAUUUUACUUUCUGUUCAGGACCCUCCUGAAAAUGGGAUUUUACUUUAUGUUCAGGAUCCUCCUAAAAAAUGAGAUUUCACUUUCUGUUCAGGACCCUCCUGAAAAUGGGAUUUCACAUUAUGUUCAAAACCCUCCUAAAAAAUGAGAUUUUACUUUCUGUUCAGGACCCUCCUGAAAAAUGGGAUUUCACUUUAUGUUUAGGACCCUCCUAAAAAAUGGGAGUUUACUUUAUGUUCAAGAACCUCUUGAAAAAUGAGAUUUUACUUUCUGUUCAGGACCCUCCUGAAAAAUGAGAUUUUACUUUCUGUUUAGGACCAUCCUGAAAAAUGGGACUUUAUUUUUUGUUCAGCACCCUCCUGAAAAAUGGGAUUUUACUUUCUGUUCAGGACCCUCUUGAAAAUGGGAUUUUACUUUCUGUUCAGGACCCUCCUGAAAAAUGGGAUUUUACUUUAUGCUCAGGACCCUCCUGAAAAAUGGUAUUUCACUUUAUGUUCAGGACCCUCAUGAAAAAUGAGAUUUUACUUUAUGUUCAGGACCCUCAUGAAAAAUGAGAUUUUACUUUAUGUUCAGGACCCUCCUGAAAAAUGGGAAUCUACUUUAUGUUCAAGACCCUCCUGAAAAACAAGAAUUUACUUUAUGUUCAGGACCCUUCAGGAAAAUGGGACAGUACUUUCAGAAAAAUGAAAUCUCUCUUUAUCUUAAUCUUUGUUGGGGAUAAUUUUCUUUUUCGUUUCUAGUUUUGAUUUCAGGAGCCCACUUGAAGAACAGGGUGAUAAAAUUGAAAGUCAGGAUUCCGCCUGAAGAACAGGGUGAAGAAGUUGAAAUUCAAGCAACAGGGUGAAUAAAUUGCAAGUCAAGAGCCCGCCUGGAGAAUAAGGUGAUGAAGUAGCGAGUCAAGAGUCAAGGAAAGCUGCAUAGAUAGGAUUUUUGUAAUUUCAUUUAUGUUUUAACUUGUAAUUUUCAUUUUGAUGUAAUGACAGAGCCGCGGAUCGAAACCUCGAUGGAAACUAACUCGACUUUCCAACUCGGUAUAUUCCAUCUCCUUCCAUCCUUUGAAAUACCUGUCACUUGAAUCCUUCAUAACUUGGGUAGGUAGGAUGUCGUAAGUCAAAACCCGGUUGCUUUUCUUCCUUCGGUUUCUUUCUUCGAAUAAUGAUCAGGAUAAAAUUCUGUCUUGUUGUCUACUUCUUUGUAUGAAAACACUAAGUGUUUAUAUUCAAAGGGGGCAUGAUGUAGACACGUAAUUUUAUCCCGUCAAAAUAUUUCUUAUUCCGUUAUCACACAAUUUAACCCCCAUUUGUAUAAUUUUCCAUAAGAAAAAUAAAUAAAAUAACCACUUCAUUUUAUUUAUUUAUCUUUUUUCUUUAUCCAAAUAACAAAUCUAACAAAUUUUGUCUUCUUUUAAAACCUUCCAACAACCCCUUCAAUUAAAAAACAACACCUCACCUAUCCCCUACCCCUACCCUCACCCCUACCCCUACGUGACCCCUCCCCUUUUAUCUUAAUUUUUUUUGUCCACAAAGAAAAGGCCCACAGGAACUUUCAAGAAAAGGGACCAUUUUUGUUUUCAUUGGAAGGACACACAUAGACAUGAUCAUAAGGGAGAGAAUAUAGAGAUGGGCCCCACUACUAACAGAAAGGGAUUUGGACCAAUGAAAAUAGAUAUACGCACUAAAUUAGAAAAGGGGGGCACGAGGAACCUUCCAGAAAGCUCACUAUACCCAUACCCCAUCUCUACCCACAGGACCUCUUCCAUCACAUUUUUUUCCACUUCUGGGUAUAAUAUAUACACACGCGGAUACACAGAUUGGGGGCGGGGGGGGGGUUCUUUCCUUUUAGCUUCUUCAUCAUCAUCUUCAUAGAAGAAAAGGAGAGCAGCCAUUGACACUCACUCUCUCUAAGUUUCUCACCCAAAAUUGCACACCCACACAAAAAAUCGCACACACCUUCCUCGAAACCAUGAUCCACGCCCUCAAAUCUCACCAAAAACUAAAGGUUUCGUGAGUGGGUCACCUUUUUUGGCGACAUACUCGUCGGAGUCGUGUCGAAGUCAUCAGCAGCACGUUCAAACUUGGCAGAAUUCGUGCCGAAUUUCUCGAUCUCACUUUUUUUUUGCUCAAUUUCUACUAUUUUUUUAGGUUCUAUUGCAUAUUGGGGUGUUGGGGUUCUUCUGUUUUGUGUUUUCAUUGUCGAAAUCAGGUCGGGGUUCGUUUGUUUUAGGUUGCUUUGGUCACCGUUAGCUCACCGGAGCUCGGUCUGCAUCAGGUUUCUAUUUUCCUUUUGGUUUGUUAGGAUUUCGGAAAUUUAUUUCUGCGUUAGGAGUUUAUAUUCACUGGUCUCGAAGCUGCUUGGCUAUUAUUCUAAUAUCGUGUUCGGAGCUUAUUCAUCAUUGAGGUGCUAUCGAGGAUUCCAAACUCAGUUUUCUUAACUCGUAUUAUCAACGAAAUUCAAUAUCGGAAGGUCCAUUUCUUAACCCACUCUCUUUUUAUUUAUCUUGGUGUGUUGAAUUGGUUGUAAUUAUAUGUGAUGUUAUUAUGUUUGUUGGCUUUAUUGUUGAUGUUGAUCAUGAUGUUUGCUGAUUCGGCUAUGGUGGUUUGAGGAAAGAAUUUGACCAUGUGUUGAUUGUUGAUUGAUAGAAACGAAGCUAGCGGGGGUGGAAUUGAGAAUUUGAUAAAAGGGGUUGAAUUAGAUUAACGUGGGUUUAUUAUUAUUUUUGUUUAAUCCGGAAUAAGCAUAAACAUUGUGUGAACGUGAAAGAGUUAUGACAUAUGGAAACGGAUAGGCAAUGUAAGUUCGAGUAGGCAAAAUUUAGGAUUUAGUUUUUUGUUGAAUGUUUGAAUAUGGAAUGUUUAUUGAAUAUUUUCCAAGAUUGUCGUACUUGAUUCAAUUGUAUCAUUUGGCCGGGGAAUGCCCUGAAGUAUUUGUAUUAUUUUCUCUGGGGAAUGCCCCAAAGUAUUUUGUACUCGGUGGACGUCCGUGAUGAAGGCCCGAGGCAUCGGGUAGCAUGGGAGCGUAGUUAGGAUUAGAGUAAGUUAGAAUAGGAUUUAUACUUUCGUAUUUCUUUUUACUUUGGUCUGUAUAAUUGGACUAAACAUUAUUUUGGGGAUUUGUUUGGGUGUGUUUGUUUGAUUGAUUGCCUUAUGUGUUUCGUGUGGUUUAUACACUCGUUGAUGUCAAGUUAACCGAUACUCCCUACCAAGCAACCGUGGUCAAACCAUGGGAUCGAGGGUUGCCUAACACCUUCCCCUCGGUCAACAGAACUCCUUAGCCAGAAUCUCUUUUCGCAAACCAGUUUCAAGAGUCAAAAUGUUUUGAAAAGGAUUUUCCAAAGGUGACUUGGCACACCAGAUUAUGUCAAGUGGUGACUCUGAAUAAAAAAUGUAAAUAGUCCCUUUUAAAACAGAUUUUCAUCCUUUUGUCACUUUAAUAAUAAAAAUCCUUUCGAACUUAAAACGAAUCUUUUGGAGUACGAAAAAAGGAUGUGACACUAUUAGUUGUAGCAUUACCCUUGUAGUUGAUUGGCAUUUCUUGAGUGUAUAUUUUUUAUAAUCAUGGUGUUCAGAUCAGUUGGCUUGGGCUUCUCCGUUAAUUUCAUGAGAUAUGUGCUACUUUCUGGCUCCAACAUAGUGGCAAAAUCGAGGAUUUCUAGAAUUGGUGCACCAGUAAGAAAAGAAGUAAAAAAUGCAUUUAGUAGGAAUUAAUCUCAAGUCCUCUAGGUAAAUAACUCAAUCUUCAACCAAGUGCACCGUUUAGUCUUCACCAUUUGGCAAGGCUACGAGGACUUGGGUCUCUCUCUAUUGGGCAGGGCAUCAAGUACAGGUAUCUUUACCGAUUAACCAAAUUCUAAUAGCUGGAGUAGAUCCUAAAGAGAUACCAUUUCCUCGAGAGUUUAUCUUGAAUUGAGAUCUUUUGGUUCAACUUUAUCCCAAUUUUGUCGAGGGAGCAACCCCAUUUUUUACCUUAAAUUGGUCAAAAUAUGCGGACUUUCUUAUGCACCACUUAGUCCUCUGGUAACGUGGGUUAGAUCAAUUAAUAUUAGAAAAUAUGUAAGUUUUCUUAGAGACCCUUUCUUUCAUUUUACUGGAAGGAUUGAAACUUCUUUACUUUUUGUAAGAGUUAAUGGCCAAAAAGACACCUGGAGUAUUGCGUCUUUGCGAGCUUCCUACUUUAAUUAUUAUUAAUUAUUUAUCAAAAACACACAUCAUUC
rnacentral:lncRNA from 1 species